AGUGAACGCUGGCGGUAGGCCUAACACAUGCAAGUCGAGCGGCAGCACAGUAAGAGCUUGCUCUUACGGGUGGCGAGUGGCGGACGGGUGAGGAAUACAUCGGAAUCUACUUUUUCGUGGGGAUAACGUAGGGAAACUUACGCUAAUACCGCAUACGACCUACGGGUGAAAGCAGGGGAUCUUCGGACCUUGCGCGAUUGAAUGAGCCGAUGUCGGAUUAGCUAGUUGGCGGGGUAAAGGCCCACCAAGGCGACGAUCCGUAGCUGGUCUGAGAGGAUGAUCAGCCACACUGGAACUGAGACACGGUCCAGACUCCUACGGGAGGCAGCAGUGGGGAAUAUUGGACAAUGGGCGCAAGCCUGAUCCAGCCAUACCGCGUGGGUGAAGAAGGCCUUCGGGUUGUAAAGCCCUUUUGUUGGGAAAGAAAAGCAGCAGGUUAAUACCCCGCUGUUCUGACGGUACCCAAAGAAUAAGCACCGGCUAACUUCGUG
rnacentral:rRNA from 1 species